UGCAAGUCGAGCGGUAGAGAGAAGCUUGCUUCUCUUGAGAGCGGCGGACGGGUGAGUAAAGCCUAGGAAUCUGCCCGGUAGUGGGGGAUAACGUUCGGAAACGGACGCUAAUACCGCAUACGUCCUACGGGAGAAAGCAGGGGACCUUCGGGCCUUGCGCUACCAGAUGAGCCUAGGUCGGAUUAGCUAGUUGGUGAGGUAAUGGCUCACCAAGGCGACGAUCCGUAACUGGUCUGAGAGGAUGAUCAGUCACACUGGAACUGAGACACGGUCCAGACUCCUACGGGAGGCAGCAGUGGGGAAUAUUGGACAAUGGGCGAAAGCCUGAUCCAGCCAUGCCGCGUGUGUGAAGAAGGUCUUCGGAUUGUAAAGCACUUUAAGUUGGGAGGAAGGGCAUUAACCUAAUACGUUAGUGUUUUGACGUUACCGACAGAAUAAGCACCGGCUAACUCUGUGCCAGCAGCCGCGGUAAUACAGAGGGUGCAAGCGUUAAUCGGAAUUACUGGGCGUAAAGCGCGCGUAGGUGGUUUGUUAAGUUGGAUGUGAAAUCCCCGGGCUCAACCUGGGAACUGCAUUCAAAACUGACUGACUAGAGUAUGGUAGAGGGUGGUGGAAUUUCCUGUGUAGCGGUGAAAUGCGUAGAUAUAGGAAGGAACACCAGUGGCGAAGGCGACCACCUGGACUAAUACUGACACUGAGGUGCGAAAGCGCGGGGAGCAAACAGGAUUAGAUACCCUG
rnacentral:rRNA from 1 species